GUGGUGGAAGAAUUGGUAGCCCUGCACAUGUCCAUCCGAGAAUUACGUCACAGGUGGGCACAAGCCGCAGUCAUUCGCCGGCGCCUCCCUGCAGUCUCAGGUAGCAGUGGCGAUGCGUAGUGCUGUUGCUUUGUACUGAGUGAGCGUGAAAGAACGCUCGUGACGAUAUAUGGUGAGGGACGUGUGGGCCUUUACGUUGUGGAAACAGAAGGAGAGUUGGUUUUCUCCAAACCCAACGAUGUAUCCUGAGGGACUCCACUCCGGCACACUUUCAUCUCGCCUCUCAUUCAUGGAACUUUAAUCAGUGAAGAACCUCGGGUGGAGACAAACUUGUCCUCUAACCUUAAUUAAGAAGCACUCCCACUGACCUGGCCCUCGUUGUGUGUGUGUGCCCUGUCUGAGGUGAUGUAAAUGUGCAGCUUUGUUAUAGUUGUUUUUACAAUAACCUUCAACUAACGCUCUUCCUCUUCCUCCUCCUCCUCGCUCUUCUCUCUUCUUCCUCCUUUCCAUCAUCAGUAAUUUCCAUCCAUCCACCCUUCACUCAGUUAUAUCCUUUCCCCUGUUCACUUGCUCUCACUUCCUCCUACUCUUCCCUCUCCCUCCCUCUCUUUGACUCCUUUCUCACAACUCGGAAGCUGAUGAAAAAGAAAGGGUAGGUGGGCUGAGGGCUCUGAAGUGGGGCUUUGGUUUACUUCUCCCUUAAACAAGCAAACAAUCCUGCGCUCUUCUUCCUUCCUUCCUUCCUUCCUUGUCUGUCCUGUUUGCUUAUCUGUCUAUCUGUCCUGCCUCUUCUGCUUACCUGUGUCUACCUCUCCUUACUCUUCUGUUUGUAUGUUUGUAUGUGUAUCUUUUAGUUUUGUUUGUUUAUGUCUUAGUCUGUUUAUUUUACUGUCUCCUAUUGAUAAAGUUAAUGUUUUUAUACCUGUCUGUCUGUCUGUCUGUCUGUCUGUCUAUUUUCCUUUUGGAGUAAUUUUUGAUGUGUGUGCUUUUUGUCUGUUUGUCUGUCUGUCAAGUAACUAGCUAAUCAACUUUCUCUCUCUCUCUCUCUCUCUCUCUCUCUCUCUCUCUCUCUCUCUCUCUCUCUCUCUCUCUCU